AACAGGAUUAGAUACCCUGGUAGUCCACGCCGUAAACGAUGUCGACUUGGAGGUUGUGCCCUUGAGGCGUGGCUUCCGGAGCUAGCGCGUUAAGUCGACCGCCUGGGGAGUACGGCCGCAAGGUUAAAACUCAAAUGAAUUGACGGGGGCCCGCACAAGCGGUGGAGCAUGUGGUUUAAUUCGAUGCAACGCGAAGAACCUUACCUACUCCUGACAUCCAGAGAACUUAGCAGAGAUGCUUUGGUGCCUUCGGGAACUCUGAGACAGGUGCUGCAUGGCUGUCGUCAGCUCGUGUUGUGAAAUGUUGGGUUAAGUCCCGCAACGAGCGCAACCCUUAUCCUUUGUUGCCAGCGAGUCAUGUCGGGAACUCAAAGGAGACUGCCGGUGAUAAACCGGAGGAAGGUGGGGAUGACAUCAAGUCAUCAUGGCCCUUACGAGUAGGGCUACACACGUGCUACAAUGGCAUAUACAAAGAGAAGCGAACUCGCGAGAGCAAGCGGACCUCAUAAAGUAUGUCGUAGUCCGGAUUGGAGUCUGCAACUCGACUCCAUGAAGUCGGAAUCGCUAGUAAUCGUAGAUCAGAAUGCUACGGUGAAUACGUUCCCGGGCCUUGUACACGCCGCCCGUCACACCAUGGGAGUGGGUUGCAAAAGAAGUAGGUAGCUUAACCUUCGGGAGGGCGCUUACCACUUUGUGAUUCAUGACUGGGGUGAAGUCGUAACAAGGUAACC
rnacentral:rRNA from 1 species